rnacentral:sRNA from 1 species
UGCAUCUGAGGCCUGCGAGGAUGAGAACCUCCGGGGGCAGCAGGUUCGACUCGAGCGAAGCGAGAGAACGUUGCGUCAGCAACGGCCCGCAGGGCGAGCCACGAAGUGGUGAGUCAUCCUCUAUCACCGACCA